rnacentral:lncRNA from 1 species
GCCAGCCCCGAGUGCUGAUGGCGCCCUGCCUUCCAAUCUUGCCUGAUAACUGCCUGAGCAUCCAUAUGCCUGCACCACCAAUCAGCCCACUGUGCUGGCCCACUGUGUAGAACACUACCCAUGGGUCCAGUACUCCCUGUGGAAUCAGAUCUGCCAGCUACAUCCUACAUCCUGCUGUAAGCCUCCCGCUGACUCCCGUGUCUCUGUGUCUCCAUGGACAGGUCAUUUCAGAGCAAUGAGUUGGGGUGCCCUCCCCAUGUCAAAGGAAGCCACCCAUGAGCCCUGAAGACACGCUCUGACUUCAUCCACAGACCAUGACACCACGCACGAGUGUCUCUCGAAGAGCUGCCCUGAAGUGCCUACGAGGAUAGCACAUCACAGCUGAGACCAAAUACAUGUCAAGAAGCAACUGAACCAGGAGAA